GACGAACGCUGGCGGCGUGCCUAAUACAUGCAAGUCGAGCGAGCUUGCCUAGAUGAUUUUAGUGCUUGCACUAAAUGAAACUAGAUACAAGCGAGCGGCGGACGGGUGAGUAACACGUGGGUAACCUGCCCAAGAGACUGGGAUAACACCUGGAAACAGAUGCUAAUACCGGAUAACAACACUAGACGCAUGUCUAGAGUUUGAAAGAUGGUUCUGCUAUCACUCUUGGAUGGACCUGCGGUGCAUUAGCUAGUUGGUAAGGUAACGGCUUACCAAGGCAAUGAUGCAUAGCCGAGUUGAGAGACUGAUCGGCCACAUUGGGACUGAGACACGGCCCAAACUCCUACGGGAGGCAGCAGUAGGGAAUCUUCUACAAUGGACGAAAGUCUGAUGGAGCAACGCCGCGUGAGUGAAGAAGGGUUUCGGCUCGUAAAGCUCUGUUGGUAGUGAAGAAAGAUAGAGGUAGUAACUGGCCUUUAUUUGACGGUAAUUACUUAGAAAGUCAC
rnacentral:rRNA from 1 species